AUUGAACCUCAACAUGUGAGGAUGUUAUCAUGCAAUGGAUUCACCUUUGGUCAAUGAGCAACAGAUAAUGGCAGAUAAGUGAUACCUUUUCCUCUCAUGAUCAGACAGUUUUGAAUUAUAGUUUACCUAGAUCUUUAUGUAAGGCAGGGAGGGGUGUGUGCUCCCAUCUGGACUAGGGGAUUGUUACCUACAGUUUUACCUGAUGCAUCAUGUAAUCUUGCAUUAGUUGUCACUACAUACUUAUUUCACUUUUAUCAAAUUAACAACUUGCACAAAACCUUUUUUCCAAGAUCUUCUUUCUGGAAAAAGCAGCUUAAGACUCCUUAAUAUCUUCCUGUAAUUCAGUCAUUGAAGACCAUGAGGAUAGACUGAGAUGACACCAAAUAGCAUUGAGUCAGUUUUGCUACUGGAGUGCAAUGGCAAGACUUCAGCUCACUGCAACCUCUGCCUCCCAGGUACAAGGGAUUCUCCUGUCUCAGCCUCCCAAGUAGCUCAGUUUAUAGGCAUGUGCCACCAAAACCAGGGAGUUUCGCUCUUGUUGCCCAUGCUGGAGUGCAAUGGCACCAUCUUGGCUCACUGCAGUGUUCACUUCCUGGGAUCAAGCAACUCUCCUAUCUCAGCCAACUGAGUAUCGGGUACUACAGGAGCCACACCACCACACUCAGCUAUGUUUUGUACUUUUAGUAGAUACAGGGUUUCACUGUGUUGGCCAGGAUGGUCUCAAUCUCUUGACCUCAUGAUCCACCUGCCUCAGGCUCCCAAAGUGCUGGGAUUACAGGCUUGAGAUUUCGUGACUGGCCAUGUUAAGUUUCUAUAAUUAAAUAAAUGAUGUUUACAAAAUCUAUUUCA
rnacentral:lncRNA from 13 species